rnacentral:rRNA from 1 species
AACCCCGGGAAACUGGGGCUAACUCUCGAUAGGUGAAGAACUAUGGAAUGAGUCUUCACCCAAACAGUUUAAAGUUAUGCUCGUUUAAACCGCCCAAGGAUGGGGCCGCGACCGAUCAGGUUGUUGGCGAGGUAAUGGCUCACCAAGCCUUUUACCGGUGCGGGCCGUGGGAGCGGGAGCCCGGAGAUGGGCACUGAGACAAGGGCCCAGGCCCUACGGGGCGCAGCAGUCGCGAAAACUUUGCAAUAAGCGAAAGCUUGACAGGGCUAUCCCGAGUGCCAUCCGCUGAGGAAGGCUUUUACCCAGUCUAGAACGCUGGGGGAAUAAGGAGAGGGCAAGUCUGGUGUCAGCCGCCGCGGUAAUACCAGCUCUCCGAGUGGUGUGGAUGUUUAUUGGGCCUAAAGCAUCCGUAGCUGGCUAGGUUAGUCCCCUGUUAAAUCCACCGAAUUAAUCGUUGGAUUGCGGGGGAUACUGCUUGGCUAGGGGACGAGAGAGGCAGACGGUAUUUUCGGGGUAGGGGUGAAAUCCUAUAAUCCCGGGAAGACCACCAGUGGCGAAGGCUGUCUGCUAGAACGCGCCCGACGGUGAGGGAUGAAAGCUGGGGGAGCGAACCGGAUUAGAUACCCGGGUAGUCCCAGCUGUAAACGAUGCAGACUAGGUGUUUGGACGGCCACGUGCCGUUCUAGUGCCGCAGGGAAGCUGUUAAGUCUGCCGCCUGGGGAGUACGAU